rnacentral:lncRNA from 1 species
CGAGCUGUCCAAAUUUCCGGAAGCUGUUGACGGAUCAACGGUCGACGACAUUAUGUUAAGCCGAGCAGCGAUGUCAAAAUCUCUAACGAAAUUAUCCAGGACAUUCAAGUUUCCGACCUAAAAACCAGCAACACAAACGCGUGUCCGUAUGGGAGAGUCAACUAUCUCUGAAACCCUCGGAAAGCGCUUGACGUCACGAAAAUGAGACAAUUUGUAAGCAGCGCGAGGAGCGUCAGGGGACAGAGGAAGAGCUCCUCGGUGCCGAUGGCUGGCGUGGUGCCCCAGACUUGGCGGAGGUGCGACAUAUACGGCAUCUCCU